GAUGAACGCUGGCGGCGUGCCUAAUACAUGCAAGUCGAGCGAACGGACGAGAAGCUUGCUUCUCUGAUGUUAGCGGCGGACGGGUGAGUAACACGUGGAUAACCCACCUAUAAGACUGGGAUAACUUCGGGAAACCGGAGCUAAUACCGGAUGAUAUUUUGCACCGCAUGGUUCAAAAGUGAAAGACGGUCUUGCUGUCACUUAUAGAUGGAUCCGCGCUGCAUUAGCUAGUUGGUAAGGUAACGGCUUACCAAGGCGACGAUGCAUAGCCGACCUCAGAGGGUGAUCGGCCACACGGGAACGGAGACACGGUCCAGACUCCUACGGGAGGCAGCAGUAGGGAAUCUGCCGCAAUGGGCGAAAGCCUGACGGAGCAACGCCGCGUGAGUGACGAAGGUCUUCGGAGCGUAAAACUCUGUUAUUAGUGAAGAACAUAUUUGUAAGUAACUGAGCACAGCUUGACGGUACCUAAUCAGAAAGCCACGGCUAACUACGUG
rnacentral:rRNA from 1 species